AACACAAACUGUCAAAACACUCUGCCUCCUCUCUGUUCAAAAUUUCCAUGAGUUUGAUUGGAAAGAGUUGAAAUUGGUGAGAGAGAAAGAUCAAAGGAAAGAAGAGAGAAAAACGCGUUGGAGGGAGAAGAGAUCUGCACUGAGAUCCUCUAUUUUCUUACAAUUAUUUGGUGUAGGAUUUGGGCUGUAUUUUAUUUAAAUUGUGUAGCCCAUAAUUUGUAUACUUCACAAGAUUGGAUUUAUUUUAUUUAUUUAAUUUAUCGGAUCCAA